CUUUAAUGCGUGAUGUGUGUCGGUCUAUUACAAGAUCUACGUUGUGUCGUGUGAUGACGCUAUUUUUGCAAAAAACAUUCACAUCCGAACUAUCCACCAGUCCGUGAUUUUAUAAAGAAAAUUAGAAUGGGGGUGCACUAGGAAAGUCGACGCCGCACUUAAACUGUCCUGUUACUAAGUACUAGUGCCGCAGGAGUACAUUGGACCUCCUGCUGCUCAAGUGCUUAUCAAUGGGAACAGAUCUGUUUCGUCGUGAUGUAGAUGUCUCGAAUUCGGAACCGAAUGAGGUCAAUACACAACAGAGGAAAAGUUCAUACCAGUUAAAUGAUGACGCCAUUAGUGAAAAUGUUAUGGGAUCCGAAUAGUAGGAGUCACCUUUGGCAUGUCUUGUUACAGUGAGUUGAUUUUUAUUUCGCGCUACAAUUAAAGCCGGCAAUUAAAAAACGUGCUUUUUACAAACAG